UAAGGAAUAUUGGGCAAUGGAGGCAACUCUGACCCAGCCACGCCGCGUGCAGGAUGACUGCCCUAUGGGUUGUAAACUGCUUUUGUACGGGAAGAAACCCUCAGAUGCGUUUGAGGUUGACGGUACCGUAAGAAUAAGGAUCGGCUAACUUCGUGCCAGCAGCCGCGGUAAUACGAAGGAUCCAAGCGUUAUCCGGAUUUAUUGGGUUUAAAGGGUGCGUAGGCGGCUUAUUAAGUCAGUGGUGAAAUCCUAGUGCUCAACACUAGAACUGCCAUUGAUACUGGUGAGCUUGAAUAUAGUUGAGGUUGGCGGAAUGUGUCAUGUAGCGGUGAAAUGCUUAGAUAUGACACAGAACACCGAUUGCGAAGGCAGCUAGCUAAACUAUUAUUGACGCUGAUGC
rnacentral:rRNA from 1 species